UACGGAGGGUGCAAGCGUUGUCCGGAUUUAUUGGGCUUAAAGGGUGCGUAGGCGGGGUCUCAAGUCUGGUUUGAAAGUUAGCUGCUCAACAGUUAGACGUGGCUGGAUACUGGGGUUCUGGAAUGGGUUGGCGGCUGCCGGAACGGGUAGUGUAGCGGUGAAAUGCGUAGAUAUGACCCAGAACACCGAUUGCGAAGGCAGGCAGCUACGACCUGAUUGACACUGAGGCACGAAAGCAUGGGUAGCGAACAGG
rnacentral:rRNA from 1 species